rnacentral:lncRNA from 1 species
CCAAAUCCAGACCUUGAGACGAUAACAUCAAUGACAUGAAUGAAAUACACAUAAUAAAGUUAAACUAAAAGAAACAUAAACAAAAUAUAACAGAUUCGAGAUGUUAUUCAACACCAGUUAACUAGCAUUUGUCAUUUUUCUUCAACUUUGAUUACAUGGAUUUACAUUUGCACCUCAUAUACUAUUCAAUAAUCAAGGCACACCUGGGAAUCAAAACAAGAUCAAAUGAGCGUGGACUUCAAAAUAAGCAGUAGGUCAGCCCACCAAUGAAACAAUAUUCAACCGGUUUACACCAUUUCUACCCAAGAAUGAAUCAAAAUUCUUUUAAAUAUUUGGGCUUUCAAGACUGAUUUUUAGUCGAAAAAUUUCAGGGAUUAUUUUGUUCUUUUAGGUAUGCAAAGCUCAACCAUUUGUCAAAUCUG